rnacentral:rRNA from 1 species
UAGGGAAUCUUCCGCAAUGGACGAAAGUCUGACGGAGCAACGCCGCGUGAACGAAGAAGGCCUUCGGGUCGUAAAGUUCUGUUGUUAGGGAAGAACAAGUACCAGAGUAACUGCUGGUACCUUGACGGUACCUAACCAGAAAGCCACGGCUAACUACGUGCCAGCAGCCGCGGUAAUACGUAGGUGGCAAGCGUUGUCCGGAAUUAUUGGGCGUAAAGCGCGCGCAGGUGGUUCCUUAAGUCUGAUGUGAAAGCCCACGGCUCAACCGUGGAGGGUCAUUGGAAACUGGGAACUUGAGUGCAGAAGAGGAAAGUGGAAUUCCAAGUGUAGCGGUGAAAUGCGUUAGAGAUUUGGAGGAACACCAGUGGCGAAGGCGACUCUCUGGUCUGUAACUGACGCUGAGGAGCGAAAAGCGUGGGAGCGAACA